UUCCCUUCAUACGUCAUGCCGCGUGUUCAUGCUGCAUGUCAUGCCAAAAACGGGGUUCACACGAUCAUUCUUUCUAAUCAUGCAUCCGCUUCAUGCAGUUGUUUCAUGCUGCCUGUCAUGCAGCAUGAUCGUGUGAACCGGCCUUUAAGCAUCCAGGGGCCAGAUCCACGAAACGGUUGCUACUUUUAACAAACUGCGAUCAGCGCCCAUUAUCAACCUCGGACCGCCAUAUGGUAUCCACGAACGCAUAAGAGGUUCGUGUUGCCAUAGUAGCAAGGUUGGUAAGAAGUUACAACCUCCUGAGGUGAUGUAGGUUAACUCCACCUCGCCUGAAAACUCUUAUAUAAAUAUUUAUGUGCACAAAAUAACCUUUUUUUUUAAUUGUUUACAAGCUUUACCAGCAAGGAAGCAUGGUUUUGUGAUGCAUAAAGUGAAAUCUUGCAUGGAACACUGAAAACAAAUGAAGAGGCUGAUUUGUCCCACACGUGCGCACUCCCCAUUCCCCCGCCCACCAACAAGUGUGUACUGUGAUUACGUAUUGUUUUCGUCGUUUCUUGUGCAUAUAUUGGAUAUUUUCUUAACAUACUACCACGUUCGUGCCUUGAGGCAAGAAAGGCGGUUUCAGGAUCGCCUUGACCCCUUGGCAUUGAGUGAUAAUGAGCUCAUGACCAAAUAUCGCUUCCCUCGGCUGACCUACUAAUCCUCUUGUUUGAGAUGCAGCCUCAGCUGGAGAGAAGGACAAGGCAUAGCCAGGCAUUACCAACUCACACCCAGGUUUUGCUGGCCCAGAGACUGUUUGCCAGUGGGCCCUUCCAAAACGUCAUUGGAGACACUGCAGGACCUAUUCAAGCAAGUGUCAGCAGGGUCUUCAAGUGUGUGUGUGCACCGUGUUGAGUGUUAAGUCAGUGCAGGAAAUCAAGAUGCCUCCGACACACCUUGAUCAAAGGAGAACUGCACACCAGUUCUUCAGGAUUAAAAAUUUCUUAAGGGUUAUUGGGGCCAUUGAUGGCACCCACAUUGCCAUCAAGGCCCGAAGAGUGGACGAGGCCCUCUACUUUAACUGGAAAAGGUAUCACUCCCUCUGAACAUCCAACUUGUUUGUGAUGCGAAUGGAGUGAUCCUCAGCUACUGCUUCAGAUUCCCAGGACCUAUGCAAGCAAGUGUCAGCAGGGUCUUCAAGUGUGUGUGUGCACCGUGUUGAGUGAUAAGUCGGUGCGGGAAAUCAAGAUGCCUCCGACACACCUUGAUCAAAGGAGAACUGCACACCAGUUCUUCAGGAUUAAAAAUUUCCUAAGGGUUAUUGGGACCAUUGAUGGCAGCCACAUUGCCAUGAAGGGCCAAAGUGUGGAUGAGGCCCUCUACUUUAACUGGAAAAGGUAUCACUCCCUCUGAACAUCCAACUUGUUUGUGAUGCAAGUGGAGUGAUCCUCAGCUACUGCUCCAGAUUGCCAGGUGCCUGCACUCUUGUGGAGGUGGCUUGCAGUACAGACCCAUCAAGUGUGUCAAAAUAAUUAAUGCUUGCCUGCUCCUACACAACUGCUGCAUCAAGUUCCUGAUGACCUACCACCUCUUGAGGAUGAAGCAGUGCCCCAUGCUGAUACCAACCCUGCUGUGCUGUAGAGGGAUCAGUGUGCUCCAGGCAGAAUUGUGUGGCAAGAAAUCAUACAAAACUUCUUCCAGCAAUGCAGUAAGGAAGUGAGAUUGUCAAAGUGCCUGGGACAUGUUUUGUACAGCCAGCUGCACCAUCACCAGCUCGUCCAUACUCAGACUAAUCUGCUGUUGGGUUUCCUGUGCUUGAGAGAGAACUUCCAAGUCAGAGUGGCCAUCUGAAAUACAGUUUAGAAGCAAACAUGACUACACCUCAAGUUACAAAUGCAGAUGAUACAGCAUUGUCAAAUCCAGAGGCCCCUGUGGACCCAGCGACACCAGCAGAAGAGGGUUGGAUGGCUCCAACACUACUGCUGGUGGAAGGCUGUGGUCCUAGAGGCCCUGACACUUCUGGAGAAAAAAAAAAAAAAAAAAGCUGUCAUUACUGCAGGGUAUGGCAGUCCUGCAAAUGUUGUGUGAGACAACAUCCACAGCAUGACCAACUCCACAGCAGUGUGUGUUGUCUCAUCUGGAGGCCCCCACCUGCAUGGAUAUGAAUGUUGCAGUUAUCACCCACUUAGAAGUUCACAUGUAAAGCCAAAUCAACUUGGUGUAUCAUGAAUGCAUUAGAGCACAAUAAUGUUAUCUAGCACUGCAGUGGUCACUGUCUCAGACCUGACUGCCAGAGGUACUGUACGUACUCCUAUUUAUAAUCCAUUGCUUAGUUGGUUCUUGGUUAUGUUUAUUGACUAUAUGAGUAAAUUUUGUAACAGCACCAAUAAUUAAAUACAACAUGUACACAAGAACAAA